UAGGGAAUCUUCCGCAAUGGACGAAAGUCUGACGGAGCAACGCCGCGUGAGUGAGGAAGGCCUUCGGGUCGUAAAGCUCUGUUGCCAGGGAAGAACGCCAAGGAGAGUAACUGCCCCUUGGGUGACGGUACCUGAGAAGAAAGCCCCGGCUAACUACGUGCCAGCAGCCGCGGUAAUACGUAGGGGGCGAGCGUUGUCCGGAAUUAUUGGGCGUAAAGCGCGCGCAGGCGGCUUUGUAAGUCUUGUGUCUAAACCCGGGGCUCAACCCCGGGGAGCACGGGAAACUGCAAGGCUUGAGUGCAGAAGAGGAAAGUGGAAUUCCACGUGUAGCGGUGAAAUGCGUAGAGAUGUGGAGGAACACCAGUGGCGAAGGCGACUUUCUGGCUGUAACUGACGCUGAGGCGCGAAAGCGUGGGGAGCAAACA
rnacentral:rRNA from 1 species